UUGGCUCUUGACUUUAUUAACCGUAAAGCCUUUAAUCUCUCUUAUCAGCCUAAUGGAAAUAAUGCUACUGGCUUCCCUUAUCUGGAAAUGUCAUCACCAGGAUCAAGAGGUGAGCAACUGAAGCACACAGCAAAAAUUCUUGUCUAAAGAGUCAUAACAAAAGUGAAGGAGAAAAAAAAUGCAUGUACCUGAUAGAUACCAAGAUCAUCAGUUUCUACCAGACAUCGGAAGUUCUUGGCUCCCAGCCUAGUAAAUGUUAGUUGGAAGGAGGAAGGAGUAUGGAAGGAAUCGAGAAUCUGCCCUCCAUCAUAGACAGAGAGAUAAAGGGAGCUGCUUGGAACCACAGGCUGCUGAUGGUUCCAAGGCGAAGGAUUGUAAGAGAUCCCUUUUCAUUCCACAGGCAACAGUGGAAGAAAGAACUUUGCUGCUAAACACAUAAAUACUGACCCACUUUAAUAAUUCAAAUCAGAGCACAGGUCCCUGCUCUUUCAGAAUGCUGAGUUAAAUUCAAAGGCACACAAAGCCGGCAAAUAAUGGAAAAGGGCAGAUCCUAUGGAACCCUGCUGAAGCAGAUGGAGGCCGGAGCUGUGCGGGAAUCGAAAGCAUAGGGCCCUCUGCUCCUGCAAGAAUAAAACAAGGCGAUACGAUACAGUGUUAUAUCACAUAAUUGUUACCAUAUUAGUUAAAUCCCUAAAUGAAG